GCAAUCGACCAUAGAAUGUGGAAAACAGGGCUUCCCGUUCGCUCGGUACUUAAGCCACGUGCCGGUCAUUUAGUACUAAGGUGGGUGACCACUUGGGAAUCCUGGCUGUUGAUUGUU
rnacentral:rRNA from 1 species